rnacentral:rRNA from 1 species
GAUGAACGCUAGCGGCAGGCCUAACACAUGCAAGUCGAGGGAGAAGCCCUUUCGGGGGCAGACACCGGCGCACGGGUGCGUAACGCGUAUGCAACCUACCUUUCACAGGGGGAUAGCCCGAAGAAAUUUGGAUUAAUACCCCAUAAUAUUAUUGGAUGGCAUCAUUUGAUAAUUAAAACUGCGGUGGUGAAAGAUGGGCAUGCGUCCUAUUAGCUAGUUGGAGUGGUAACGGCACCCCAAGGCUACGAUAGGUAGGGGUCCUGAGAGGGAGAUCCCCCACACUGGUACUGAGACAGGGACCAGACUCCUACAGGAGGCAGCAGUGAGGAAUAUUGGUCAAUGGUCGGAAGACUGAACCAGCCAUGCCGCGUGCAGGAAGAAUGCCUUAUGGGUUGUAAACUGCUUUUAGAUGGGAAGAAUAAGGCGUACGUGUACGUUGAUGACGGUACCAUAUGAAUAAGCAUCGGCUAACUCCGUG